rnacentral:rRNA from 1 species
AUGCAUCGCCCAAAUGCAGAGCCCGGGGGUCAUCCUCCUUUACUAAAAAAAAUCUGCAUAUCUACAAAGAAAGUGAGCAAGAUUCAUAGAAUCGUCAGCACCAUCCAUUCUAAUCCAUCUUUGCUUCUCCUCUCCUUGCUGCAGUUGCGAGUAUGUCUCUGUAUAGAUGAGCAUGGCGACGACGGCAGUGGCGACCACCAAGCCACCUCCUCCAUCCUCACACCUCGCAUUCGCACCAGCCACCACGCCAACUCCCAACACCCACACCGUGCUCUCCGCUCCGGCUCCGUCGACUGCGCCCUCACGCUCCGGCUUCCAAGGCCGCGCCCGCAUCUUCAGCCCCAGAUCCCGGGACGAUGCCUUACCGCCUAG